UGUGUGGAAGGAUGCCCAGAGCUGGAAAGAGACAGAGUGGUGGGGUGUGGCGCAGGAGGGAAAAGGGGUGGUGGUUGGAGGCCAAGCCCUAUCAGAGGGGGGUUGGGUAUGGAGGCCUGCAGGGAAUGGUGCAUGGAGGGGGGCUACUCACUGGAUGUAUUGGCUGCAGCUCCUGCAUGUUCAGGCUCAGCUCUCUGUCACCCUAGCUUGGUGGGGAGCUGUGCAGAAGAGUACAGUCUUGUGCUAUGAGAGAUGUAGAAGGGCCUUUUUCUGUGUUUCCCCUAGCCGGAGGGGGUGCAUGUGUCUACGCUGGGGCUGAGCUGCUGCCUCAGCUUUAGAUAGGCUGCCCCAGCCCAUCCUCGUGCUGCCCAAGGUGCCUCUUAUUGUACCCUCUGAUUUCUCUCUCAUCCUUGCUGCCCCAGCUUUCUCCGUGCCACCCCACACAGUGAGCCAAGGCAGGAGCACCUGCUAAACACGAAGGUGUUACAGUUAAGAGAUGUGGCUCCCACAUACACCCACCUGGAUGGGAGCUCUUGUCUGUGCAAGCUACAGAAGCUGCUAGUUCUGAAGGCAGCAUUUCGUGACUGAGAUGUCAGAGACUGAUUGUAAAUCAAACAAAUCUCAAAAGGGGCGGUGUUCUCUUUAGACAGCUCUGGGUCACUCUGGAGACGCUUCUGUAAUCUAAUUUUACAGAUGAAGGAUGGUCACAAGGAAGACCUUGCAGUCUUAUAUCAGAAUGCUUUGUUGAUUGUAGUACGUCCUGUUGUCAGAUUAAGAGGUGGGGAGGAGGUUCUAGGGUGCCAAUAAGGUAUUUCUUUACCUUUUGCCAGGCAGAUUUCUGAAAUGAGGUGCCAAAUAUGUGUUGGCAAAGCUAACCGUCUGCGUCAAAUAUUGGCUCCACUGGUAUUUAGCUCAUGGUGAAACCCCACACUCGCCUCUGCGUAUGAAUGGACUUAUCAAGGACAGGGGCCAUUUUCACUAGGAUCAGUGUGCAAGACUCAGUCUGGCACUUCAUGCCUCAAUCAUUGUGAUAUUACAAUUUGCUCCUUGGUUAAGCAUAUUUUAUCAUUCAUUGAGACUUGAAGCAUCAAUAGGCUCUUGCUUUAUCUACUCCUCCCCUUCUUCCCCCCCCCCCCCCAAAUAAAAAGGUAGGAUGAAGCCCUAUUGAGAGGGUUAUAACAGCCCAUGAACAAGUUUUAAAACUUCAGCACCAACAAAAAUGGCAGUCUAGUGGUGUUGCCAUCUGUAGCCUGGCUGAAGGCUGUUUUGGUCUCAAUUUUUGUAGCUUGCAGAUGAUUUUGUGUUGAUCAAAGCAAAAGUGUGCUGAGCUCCAGGGCAAGGAUGGUCUGAAUAACCACCAAAUAGUGACUUGGGGGUGCAUUGAUAAUCUCUUAAAUGAGGUGCUUGGCUCUCCCAACUGGAGAAAAACUGCAACAAGACCCAGUUAGGAGGGAACUAGUCUUUCAUCAAAGCUGAGGGGGUUGUUUUUAUUCCUGAGCUUCAUAGGCUCUGAAAUAAUAUGUAUUUACUAAAUAGACCUGAAAAAGAUCAGGGGGAAGGCCACAUGUUUGAAGCAUAAACUUAAAAGAAGCAAAACAAAUUCAUUGUUAAUAAAAUUGUCUUGAAGUGAUCAGAAUUAUAUUUUCCCUCUUUUUAGAGUUUAUGUAAUGAUUAUAUCACAAGACUAAGAGCCUCUACUCCUGAUUUUUUCUUCUUGUCUUAUGACUUGAUCUGACCUUGGAAAAGUCAUUUUAUUUACCUUUCUACGGCAGUUUCCACAAUGACUAAAGUUAUGUACAUUUUUAAAGAAAUUAAUGUUUGUUAAGAAUUUUAGGUUUAUUGGAUGAAGGAUACAUAAAUUGAAUUUUAUUUUAAAAAUGGCCAAAUAUCCUCUUCAGACAUUGUGAACAAAACUGUCUUAGUCUCGGAUUUUGUGCAAAGUUUUGUCCAAUGAAUUUUGAUCACUAAGUUAUAAGCCUUGUAAAGCAGAGUUGCUCAUGGAAAUUAAAUAUUUUAGAACCUUAAUUAGAGCUGUGCCAUAUACAUAUUUUUUAAAGGAGUGCAAAUAUAUUUUCUUUUACCUAGCACUUUGACGAAAGCUAUGAUGAAAAGUGCUUCAUAAAAGGUAGGUAUUUAUUAGUUCCAGAUGAUAAAAUCAUAUAAGAAAGUACAAACUUCCUUUCUGUACAUUUGAAUAAAGUUGUUUCAUAUCUUUAAAAUCAACAAAAAAAAAUUAACUGCUAUGUAAGUGUGAUCACACAAAAAUUCAGCAAGAAACAAAUGAAAUUCCUUGGUUUUUUUUUUUCUUCCAUCCUUCCUCUUAUUAUAAAGAUUUCAUACGUUUUGAAAAGCAGAGCACAUAGAUUAAUUUUUGACAGUUUCUCCCAGCACAGACCAAGGGCCCGAACCUAAAAGAGAGCACACUUUCACAACUGUUAAUGCAUUUCAGGUAACAGUAGUUGAAGAUCUAGCUUUGUAAACAGAAGCUGCAUUUUUAUGUCAUGCCUCAGUAUGGUCACUGAAAAGUUUUUAUUAGUUUUAAAACGGAAGAAGAAACCAAAGUAAAACCAUUUAAAAUAGUAUAGCCUUGAUUAGUUCACUUCAAUAAUUAAGGGCUCAAUUGUGUUGCCUUUUUAAUAGUAAAACACUUCAACUGAAGCACAGUUUAACCCGAAUUGAAUAGGAAAUCGUCAGGUCAGGAAACAACUUCCAGAGCAGUCCAUGAAAAGAGGUUCUGACAGUAAAGGGAAAAAAUGAAAUCCAACUCCAUCACAAGCAAGAAAUGAGCAAUCGCUGAUUUAAAGUUUGAGUGUAAGUGUAUAUAUACAGGAAUGGCAGGAACUAUGGCCAUAUGUCUUGUCUGUUCUUGAUUCUGCCACAGGCUCUCUCUGUGCUCUUCGAAGAGUCAACUUCUGUGUGCCUCAGUUUUCCCCCUUUGUGAAAUGGGGGAAAUCUACAUGAGAGGAGAAUAUGCAAAGCACUUUGAGAUCCUUGGAUGGAAGGCUGCUUAUAAAUGCCAGGACGAGUCUGCUGGGUUAGCAAGGUGGUAACAGCAUAUAUGCUACUAAAUUUGAUACAGAGCCAGUCUUUAUUCUGGACUGCUUGGUCUUGCAACAUCCAUACCCAAAAGAUUUUCUUGCUCUUCUCUGGACAUCUUUCCUAAUGUUUGUCACCCAGAACUGGAGACAACUGAGGUCUCACUGAUAGUGAGUAGAGUGUCUCCCGUGUCUUACAUAUUGUCAUGGUCUCACAGGACUUGUGCUCUCUCUCUGCUCCGUAUGGGAACCCCGUUACAGCCCUUUACGGGGGUCCACUCUCUCUUGGAGAGGCCCCUCCGCCUCCUGGAAGUGCACCUCUCUGAGCCUUAAGCAUGCCUGUCUCUUGCUGUGAGCCCCUUCAGGGGGUUCACUCACUCUGGAUCCCCAGGGCCUCCACUCCCAGAGGGAAUAAUGCAACCCCAAUCUUUAGACUGCAGUAACUCUCAGCCAGAGUAAAAUAGAAGGGUUUAUUGAACAUCUGAACACAGUAUAGGAGGCUCCCAGGGUCCUCAGGUCUAGCAAACCUCAACACAGUACAUCUAUGUCUCUCCCGCAGCCAGGUGGGCUCUGGUCUCUUCCCAGUACAGCUGCCCCCUCCUUCCAGCUGACCAUCCUGUAUC